rfam:Bacillus amyloliquefaciens FZB42, complete genome.
GAAUCUCGAGUGACGGAUAUGAGUACGCCGAAGCCCUGUUUAAGAGAGAAGCUCCGAUACGCUGAAAGGAGCUUCAGCAGAAGAUCGGCCGAAGCUAAUCCUGAGUGCAGUUAAAGGCUGCCGCAGUCCUGCGUUACGGGAUGAAAGGUGACAGGCCUUUUUCGGCCUGUAAUCAGGGUGGUACCGCGAGACAGCUCUCGUCCCUGUG